rnacentral:tRNA from 1 species
CAAUUGAUAUCUUAAUUAAAGAUUUGAUUUUUUAAAUCAAUAAUAAUAAUAAAAUUUAUUUCAAUUGA